UACGGGGGGGAGCAAGCGUUGUUCGGAUUUACUGGGCGUAAAGGGUGCGCAGGCGGCCGUGUGUGUCAGGUGUGAAAGCCCGAGCUUAACCUCGGAAUUGCGCCUGAAACUACAUGGCUAGAGUACUGGAGAGGGUAGCGGAAUUCAUGGUGUAGCAGUGAAAUGCGUAGAUAUCAUGAGGAACACCAGAGGCGAAGGCGGCUACCUGGACAGUUACUGACGCUCAGGCACGAAAGCGUGGGGAGCAAAAGGG
rnacentral:rRNA from 1 species